UACGGAGGGUGCAAGCGUUGUCCGGAUUUAUUGGGUUUAAAGGGUGCGUAGGCGGCCCGGUAAGUCAGUGGUGAAAGCCUCCAGCUCGACUGGAGAACUGCCAUUGAUACUGCCGGGCUUGAGUACAGACGAGGUUGGCGGAAUUGAUUGUGUAGCGGUGAAAUGCAUAGAUACAAUCAAGAACUCCGAUUGCGUAGGCAGCUAACUAGGCUGUAACUGACGCUGAGGCACGAAAGCGUGGGGAGCGAACAGG
rnacentral:rRNA from 1 species